UUGAACGCUGGCGGCAUGCUUUACACAUGCAAGUCGAACGGCAGCGCGGGCUUCGGCCUGGCGGCGAGUGGCGAACGGGUGAGUAAUGCAUCGGAACGUGCCCAGUAGUGGGGGAUAGCCCGGCGAAAGCCGGAUUAAUACCGCAUACGACCUGAGGGUGAAAGCGGGGGACCGAAAGGCCUCGCGCUAUUGGAGCGGCCGAUGUCGGAUUAGCUAGUUGGUGGGGUAAAGGCUUACCAAGGCGACGAUCCGUAGCUGGUCUGAGAGGACGACCAGCCACACUGGGACUGAGACACGGCCCAGACUCCUACGGGAGGCAGCAGUGGGGAAUUUUGGACAAUGGGGGCAACCCUGAUCCAGCCAUGCCGCGUGCGGGAAGAAGGCCUUCAGGUUGUAAACCGCUUUUGUUCGGGAAGAAAUCCUCUGGGCUAAUACCCCGGGGGGAUGACGGUACCGGAAGAAUAAGCACCGGCUAACUACGUG
rnacentral:rRNA from 1 species